UACGAAGGGGGCUAGCGUUGCUCGGAAUCACUGGGCGUAAAGGGCGUGUAGGCGGGAAGGAAAGUCAGAUGUGAAAGCCCUGGGCUCAACCCAGGAACUGCAUUUGAAACUCCCUUUCUUGAGUGUCGGAGAGGAAAGCGGAAUUCCUGGUGUAGAGGUGAAAUUCGUAGAUAUCAGGAGGAACACCGGUGGCGAAGGCGGCUUUCUGGACGACAACUGACGCUGGAGACGCGAAAGCGUGGGGAGCAAACAGG
rnacentral:rRNA from 1 species